rnacentral:rRNA from 1 species
AACGAACGCUGGCGGCAGGCCUAACACAUGCAAGUCGAACGCUGUAGCAAUACAGAGUGGCAGACGGGUGAGUAACGCGUGGGAACAUGCCCUUCGGUUCGGAAUAACUCAGGGAAACUUGAGCUAAUACCGGAUACGCCCUUAGGGGGAAAGAUUUAUUGCCGAAGGAUUGGCCCGCGUCCGAUUAGCUAGUUGGUGAGGUAAUGGCUCGCCAAGGCGACGAUCGGUAGCUGGUCUGAGAGGAUGAUCAGCCACACUGGACUGAGACACGGCCCAGACUCCUACGGGAGGCAGCAGUGGGGAAUAUUGGACAAUGGGCGCAAGCCUGAUCCAGCCAUGCCGCGUGAGUGAUGAAGGCCCUAGGGUUGUAAAGCUCUUUCGCCAGGGACGAUAAUGACGGUACCUGGAUAAGAAGCCCCGGCUAACUUCGUGCCAGCCGCCGCCGUAA